UCGUUAGCUCAGUCGGUAGAGCAGCGGACUUUUAAUCCGUUGGUCGAAGGUUCGAAUCCCUCACGAC
rnacentral:tRNA from 1 species